GCGUUCAACCUGUUCGACGCGGACGGCUCCGGAGCGAUCGAUGCGGAGGAGAUGGCGCUG
rnacentral:ribozyme from 1 species